rnacentral:rRNA from 1 species
AGAACGAACGCUGGCGGCAGGCUUAACACAUGCAAGUCGAACGCGUGUAGCAAUACACGAGUGGCGCACGGGUGAGUAACGCGUGGAUAUCUGCCUUUUGGUUCGGAAUAACCCCGGGAAACUGGGGCUAAUACCGGAUGGUUCCUUCGGGAUAAAGAUUUAUCGCCAAAAAGAUGAGUCCGCGUACGAUUAGCUAGUUGGUGAGGUAAUGGCUCACCAAGGCGACGAUCGUUAGCUGGUCUGAGAGGACGAUCAGCCACACUGGGACUGAGACACGGCCCAGACUCCUACGGGAGGCAGCAGUGGGGAAUAUUGGACAAUGGGGGCAACCCUGAUCCAGCCAUGCCGCGUGAGUGAUGAAGGCCUUCGGGUUGUAAAGCUCUUUUGGCGGGACGAUGAUGACGGUACCCGCAGAAUAAGCCCCGGCUAACUUCGCGCCAGCAGCCGC